GGGCCGCACGCGCGCUACACUGACGGAGCGAGCGAGUUUGCCUUAGCCGAGAGGUUUGGGAAAUCUUGAGAAACUCCGUCGUGCUGGGGAUAGAGCAUUGUAAUUUUUGCUCUUCAACGAGGAAUUCCUAGUAAGCGCAAGUCAUCAGCUUGCGUUGAUUACGUCCC
rnacentral:rRNA from 1 species